AAUAAGCGGAGGAAAAGAAACCAACAGGGAUUGCCCUAGUAACGGCGAGUGAAGCGGCAACAGCUCAAAUUUGAAAUCUGGCUCUUUCAGAGUCCGAGUUGUAAUUUGCAGAGGGCGCUUUGGCUUUGGCAGCGGUCCAAGUUCCUUGGAACAGGACGUCACAGAGGGUGAGAAUCCCGUACGUGGUCGCUAGCUAUUGCCGUGUAAAGCCCCUUCGACGAGUCGAGUUGUUUGGGAAUGCAGCUCUAAAUGGGAGGUAAAUUUCUUCUAAAGCUAAAUAUUGGCCAGAGACCGAUAGCGCACAAGUAGAGUGAUCGAAAGAUGAAAAGCACUUUGGAAAGAGAGUCAAACAGCACGUGAAAUUGUUGAAAGGGAAGCGCUUGCAGCCAGACAUGCUUGCAGUUGCUCAUCCGGGCUUUUGCCCGGUGCACUCUUCUGUAGGCAGGCCAGCAUCAGUUUGGGCGGUGGGAUAAAGGUCUCUGUCACGUACCUCUCUUCGGGGAGGCCUUAUAGGGGAGACGACAUACCACCAGCCUAGACUGAGGUCCGCGCAUCUGCUAGGAUGCUGGCGUAAUGGCUGUAAGCGGCCCGUCUUGAAACACGGACCAAGGAGUCUAACAUCUAUGCGAGUGUUUGGGUGUCAAGCCCGAGCGCGUAAUGAAAGUGAACGGAGGUGGGAACCCGCAAGGGUGCACCAUCGACCGAUCCUGAAGUUUACGGAAGGAUUUGAGUAAGAGCAUGGCUGUUGGGACCCGAAAGAUGGUGAACUAUGCUUGAAUAGGGUGAAGCCAGAGGAAACUCUGGUGGAGGCUCGCAGCGGUUCUGACGUGCAAAUCGAUCGUCAAAUUUGGGCAUAGGGGCGAAAGACUAAUCGAACUAUCUAGUAGCUGGU
rnacentral:rRNA from 1 species